rnacentral:rRNA from 1 species
UGGGGAAUAUUGCACAAUGGGCGCAAGCCUGAUGCAGCCAUGCCGCGUGUAUGAAGAAGGCCUUCGGGUUGGAAAGUACUUUCAGCGGGGAGGAAGGGAGUAAAGUUAAUACCUUUGCUCAUUGACGUUACCCGCAGAAGAAGCACCGGCUAACUCCGUGCCAGCAGCCGCGGUAAUACGUAGGUGGCAAGCGUUGUCCGGAUUUAUUGGGCGUAAAGCGAGCGCAGGCGGUUUCUUAAGUCUGAUGUGAAAGCCCCCGGCUCAACCGGGGAGGGUCAUUGGAAACUGGGACACUUGAGUGCAGAAGAGGAGAGUGGAAUUCCAUGUGUAGCGGUGAAAUGCGUAGAUAUAUGGAGGAACACCAGUGGCGAAGGCGGCUCUCUGGUCUGUAACUGACGCUGAGGCUCGAAAGCGUGGGGAGCAAACAGG